rnacentral:rRNA from 1 species
CGCCAGCAUCCUAGCCGAAGCGCGGACCUCAGUCCCGGCUGGCCGUAUUACACCCUGGGCUAUAACACCUCCACCGAAGUGGAGGCCACAUUCCCAGAGCCUUUAUCCGGCCGCCGAAACUGAUGCUGGCCUGUCCAAACUGAGUAAACCGGUCAGAAGACCGGCCGAACAGUUUAAACAAGUCUGAUUGCAAGCGCUUCCCUUUCAACAAUUUCACGUGCUUUUUAACUCUCUUUCCAAAGUGCUUUUCAUCUUUCGAUCACUCUACUUGUGCGCUAUCGGUCUCUCGCCAAUAUUUAGCUUUAGAAGAAAUUUACCUCCCAUUUAGAGCUGCAUUCCCAAACAACUCGACUCGUCGAAGGAGAUUUACAUAGGGUGCCAUUUCCUGUCACAUACGGGAUUCUCACCCUCUAUGACGUCCUGUUCCAAGGAACUUAGACAGGCGGCUUCCCCAAAUCAUCCUCUACAAAUUACAAUGCGAACCCGAAGGCUAGCUUUCAAAUUUGAGCUGUUGCCGCUUCACUCGCCGUUACUAGGGCAAUCCC